ACCCGGCUAGGUCAGUUGGUAGCGCAUGGGACGCUUGAUCUCAGGAUUGUGGGUUUGAGCCCCAUGCUGGAUG
rnacentral:tRNA from 1 species